GACCUCAAAUCAGGUAGGGCUACCCGCUGAACUUAAGCAUAUCAAUAAGCGGAGGAAAAGAAACUAACAAGGAUUCCCCUAGUAGCGGCGAGCGAACCGGGACGAGCUCAAAUUUGAAAUCUGGCGCCCUCCGGGCGUCCGAGUUGUAAUCUACAGAAGCGUCUUCCGCGCCGGACCGUGUCCAAGUCCCUUGGAACAGGGUAUCAAAGAGGGUGACAAUCCCGUGCUUGACACGACGACCGGUGCUCUGUGAUGCGCUCUCCACGAGUCGAGUUGUUUGGGAAUGCAGCUCA
rnacentral:rRNA from 1 species